UACGUAGGGGGCAAGCGUUAUCCGGAUUUACUGGGUGUAAAGGGAACGCAGGCGGUCUUUUAAGUCUGAUGUGAAAGCCUUCGGCUUAACCGGAGUAGUGCAUUGGAAACUGGGAGACUUGAGUGCAGAGGAGGAGAGUGGAACUCCAUGUGUAGCGGUGAAAUGCGUAGAUAUAUGGAAGAACACCAGUGGCGAAAGCGGCUCUCUGGUCUGUAACUGACGCUGAGGUUCGAAAGCGUGGGUAGCAAACAGG
rnacentral:rRNA from 1 species